CUUCAGAAAAUGGGGUGCUUACACCAAUUGUUGUAGGCUGAGAUGAUACCCAGAGGCUUUACCUCACACCUGAUCCGGUUAGUACCGGCGUAGGGAUUUUGUACUACACUACU
rnacentral:ncRNA from 1 species